rnacentral:lncRNA from 1 species
UCCAUUUUAAAUAAACAAAAAUAAGUCAUGUCAUAUUAAAUUGAAAAUAUAAAGAUGAGAUGCAAUCUUGGCUCUCAACAUAGAAAAUAAUAAUUUAACAAUAAAGAGAAGGGUGAGAAUGAGCAACCGAUGGGGGCUAUCCACAACCAUUUCACAAUGCGAAGAGUAAACAGCUGAAUGUAGGGGGCUAUCUACGGCUGCUCAUUGCGAGUUCCCAUAGUGGCUUUCCUGCUCAUCUUUAAGUUAAAAUCAUCUAAACAUUUUCAAGUCAAUCUCCUAGUUGUUCUCAUUUCGGCAAGUGAUUGCCUUAUUUUGUAAAACUAAGUGUUUAACAAGCCAUGAAUAGGAAAAGAACACUUAAGAAAGAAUAUGAAAGAUGUUGAUG